AGUGAACGCUGGCGGCGUGCCUAAUACAUGCAAGUCGAACGGAGUGGCGCACGGGUGAGUAAUAUAUAGCUAAUCUGCCCCUUGCUGGAGGACAACCGUUAGAACGCACUGCUAAUACCCCAUAGCAAGGGAAGUGACUAUAUCGUAUCAGCUAGUCGGUGGGGUAACGGCCUACCGAGACUAUGACGCGUAACUGGUCUGAGAGGAUAGUCAGUCAACUUGUAACUGAGACACGGUCCAAACUCCUUCGGGAGGCAGCAGUAGGGAAUAUUUCGCAAUGGGAGAAUCCCUGAAGUAUCAACGCCGCGUGAAGGAUGACACUUUUCGGAGCUUAAACUCCUUUUGUUAGGGAAGCGGUACCUAACGAAUAAGCACCGGCUAACUCCGUGCCAGCAGCCGCGGUAAUUC
rnacentral:rRNA from 1 species